rnacentral:misc_RNA from 1 species
AAGUCGUAACAAGGUCUCCGUAGGUGAACCUGCGGAGGGAUCAUUACUGAGUGAGGGCCCACCGGCCCGACCUCCAACCCUUUGUAUUCUGACUCUGUUGCCUCGGGGGCGACCCUGCCUUCGGGUGUUGGGGCCCCGCGGGCUACAUAACUCUGCAUCUUUGCGUCUGAGUAGCAUUUUGAAUUAAAUCAAAA